rnacentral:piRNA from 1 species
UCCGGAAAGACCCGCGUGGCCCUGCGCUGA